rnacentral:rRNA from 1 species
GACGAACGCUGGCGGCGUGCUUAACACAUGCAAGUCGAACGGUGAACCAGAGCUUGCUCUGGGGAUCAGUGGCGAACGGGUGAGUAACACGUGGGCAACCUGCCCCAGACUCUGGGAUAACUCCGGGAACCGGAGCUAAUACCGGAUACGACUACUUCGGACAUCCGACGGUAGUGGAAAGUUUUUCGGUCUGGGAUGGGCCCGCGGCCUAUCAGCUAGUUGGUGGGGUAAUGGCCUACCAAGGCGACGACGGGUAGCCGGCCUGAGAGGGCGACCGGCCACACUGGAACUGAGACACGGUCCAGACUCCUACGGGAGGCAGCAGUGGGAAGUAUUGCACAAUGGGCGAAAGCCUGAUGCAGCGACGCCGCGUGAGGGACGACGGCCUCGGUGUAACCGUACUUUCUAGCAGGACGAAGCGAAG